rnacentral:rRNA from 1 species
AUACGGAAGGUGCGAGCGUUAUCCGGAAUCACUGGGUUUAAAGGGUGCGUAGGCGGCAUGAUAAGUCAGAGGUGAAAGCCCUCAGCUUAACUGAGGAAUUGCCUUUGAUACUGUUGUGCUUGAAAGGGGAUGAGGUGAGCGGAAUGUGGCAUGUAACGGUGAAAUGUGUAGAUAUGCCAUAGAACACCGAUUGCGAAGGCAGCUCACUGGGCCUACGUUGACGCUGAGGCACGAAAGCGUGGGGAGCAAACAGGAUUAGAAACCCCAGUAGUCC